CACAUAUCUAUGGUUAGGCUCACAUUCGUUCAGUUGGCUUCCCAAGUGACCUUACUGAAAUACAACCUCUGUUCAUAUCAUACGAUUUGCAGGUAAAAAAUCAAUCAAAGCAUCUCUACACAUAUAAGGACUCCUCUCACAAACCUGAGUAGAUCCUUUUUUUUUGUGUGGUGCGUAUGGGAGCUUCUAGUUG